GUAGGUGGCAAGCGUUGUCCGGAAGUUAUUGGGCGUAAAGCGCGCGCAGGCGGUUCGUUUAAGUCUGAUGUGAAAGCCCACGGGCUCAACCGUGGAGGGUCAUUGGAAACUGGAGAACUUGAGUACAGAAGAGGAAAGCGGAAUUCCACGUGUAGCGGUGAAAUGCGUAGAGAUGUGGAGGAACACCAGUGGCGAAGGCGGCUUUCUGGUCUGUAACUGACGCUGAGGCGCGAAAGCGUGGGGAGCAAACAGGAUUAGAUACCCUGGUAGUCCACGCCGUAAACGAUGAGUGCUAAGUGUUAGGGGGUUUCCGCCCCUUAGUGCUGCAGCUAACGCAUUAAGCACUCCGCCUGGGGAGUACGGCCGCAAAGGCUG
rnacentral:rRNA from 1 species